rnacentral:rRNA from 1 species
AGCCCUCGACCUAAUCGGAGGUGUGACCUGCUCAGUGGUCUAUAAGCACGUUAAAUAAUAUUUAACCACUUAGACUAAAAAGACGCAUUAAUCUGAGUGUGAUAAUGUAGCAUAAUCACUCGCCAUUUAAUUGGUGGAUGGUAUGAAUGGUUGCACGAGUGUUCCAUUGUUUUUAAUGUAAAGUAAUUGAAAUUCAGCUUAUCGUAAAGACGCGAUAUAAAAUUGUAAGACGAAAAGACCCUAUAGAGCUUCACUAUAUACUCUUUUAUAAUUUAUAUAAGACAGUAUGGUAGUUUGGUUGGGGCGACCGCCUUUUAAAAAGAACAAAGGCCAGCAAAUAUAUUAAAAAAAUUUACUGUAUAAUACAUCUAUUUAACAGUUAUGAAAGUAGGCUAAAAUGACCCAUUCUAAAAAAGCAUAUAGAAUGUUCAAGAAAUAAAAGCUACCUUAGGGAUAACAGGGUAAUUUCUGUAAGGACUGAGAUAGUGCUGACAGAGCUUGCCACCUCGAUGUUGAAUUAAGGUAUCCUUACGACUAAGUCGUCGUAAAGGGUAGGUCUGUUCGACCUUUAAAACCUUACAUGAUUUGAG